UGCGGGAAUAUUGCGCAAUGGGGGGAACCCUGACGCAGCCAUGCCGCGUGAAUGAAGAAGGCCUUAGGGUUGUAAAGUUCUUUCGGUAUUGAGGAAGGUUGAUGUGUUAAUAGCACAUCAAAUUGACGUUAAAUACAGAAGAAGCACCGGCUAACUCCGUGCCAGCAGCCGCGGUAAUACGGAGGGUGCGAGCGUUAAUCGGAAUAACUGGGCGUAAAGGGCACGCAGGCGGUUAUUUAAGUGAGGUGUGAAAGCCCUGGGCUUAACCUAGGAAUUGCAUUUCAGACUGGGUAGCUAGAGUACUUUAGGGAGGGGUAGAAUUCCACGUGUAGCGGUGAAAUGCGUAGAGAUGUGGAGGAAUACCGAAGGCGAAGGCAGCCCCUUGGGAAUGUACUGACGCUCAUGUGCGAAAGCGUGGGGAGCAAACAGGAUUAGAUACCCUGGUAGUCCACGCUGUAAACGCUGUCGAUUUGGGGGUUGGGGUUUAACUCUGGCGCCCGUAGCUAACGUGAUAAAUCGACCGCCUGGGGAGUACGGCCGCAAGGUUA
rnacentral:rRNA from 1 species